rnacentral:rRNA from 1 species
AUUGAACGCUGGCGGCAGGCCUAACACAUGCAAGUCGAACGGUAACAGGAAAAGACUUGCCUCUUUGCUGUGGCGAGUGGCGGGCGGGUGAGAUGUAUAUGAAACUCUCUUUUGGAGUGGGUGAUAACGUGGGAACACUAGCUAAAACCGCAUAUACUACCUACGGCAAAGAGCAGGAGUUUCGCGGACCUUGCCAUCUGGUAUGAGCCGAUGGGGGAUUAGCUAGUUGGCGGGGUAAGGGCCCACCAAGGCGACGAUCCGUAGCUGGUCUGAGAGGAUGACCAGCCACACUGGAACUGAGACACGGUCCAGACUCCUACGGGAGGCAGCAGUGGGGAAUAUUGGACAAUGGGCGCAAGCCUGAUGCAGCCAUGCCGCGUGAAUGAAGAAGGCCUUCGGGUUGUAAAGUACUUUCGUUGGGAAGGAAGAGAAGAAAGUUAAUACCUCACCGUAUUGACGGUACCCACAGAAUAAGCACCGGCUAACUUCGUG